CGGAAAAAUUUUGGCUGAAAUUUUUUGGCGGGAAAAUCUUUUGUCGGAAUUUUUUGGCGGGAAAACUUUUGCCGAAAAUUUUUGGCGGGAAAUUUUUUGCCGAAACUUUUUAGCGGGGAAAUUUGGCGGGAAAUUUUUCGGAAGGAAUAUUCUUUUUGUUGGAAAGAAUAUUCCUUUUUUCAUCAUGGGUAUAAUAAAGGAGGGUAAUUUAGUCAUUUUGUACAUUGAAAAAGGUAUUUUUGAAAAUGAACACCUAG
rnacentral:lncRNA from 1 species